UGGCCAGCAUUAAAAGAAGGUCCCAGCGCCUUUACAAAGACACCGAUGGCAGCAAAGGUCGGAAAGAAAGAAUCGUCUUUGACAUCAUUCUCUCUGACGAGACAGUUUGGCCAUGGCAACUUUCACAUGGUGACGCUGUAGAUUUGAAAAUCAAGAGGAAGGCGUUUGAUGUUGUGAUGGCAAUAAGGAGACUUGAGGAGGAGAAGAAGAUUGUUCUUUCUGAGAUGGCAAAGCAUUGGAAAUCUCUCUCCACUCGUGCAGACACACUCAAGGAGAUGUCAUCCCAGCUUUCCAGUGAGGCAUUGCAAAGUGAGCUGUGGGCUCUAAAUGAAGAAGGGAUCGAGGGUUUCCUCAGCUUAACUUUGAGAAAGAAGCAAGAAGUCACCAGAAUGAUGAAGCAUGCAAGAGACUGCUAUGCUCAAGUUUUUGAUCAUAUUCAGUGAAAUCGACACUAUAAUCGCCCUAUUUCUGAUACCGUGGGGGGCAGAAAUGUUCAGUAGCACCUCAAUGCAGUACAUGAGAUCCACGGGGAGGAGUCGGAUCAAGAUCCAAGGGGUGGAGAUGGGUAGGAUUAGGGUUGGGUUUAGG